UACGUAGGGUGCGAGCGUUGCCCGGAUUUAUUGGGCGUAAAGGGCGCGUAGGCGGUGAGAUGCGUCCGUUGUGAAAUCGCCCGGCUCAACUGGGCGGGGUCAGCGGAUACGGUCUCACUUGAGCAAGCUAGGGGGCAAUGGAAUUCCCGGUGUAGUGGUGGAAUGCGUAGAUAUCGGGAGGAACACCUGUGGCGAAAGCGGCGCACUGGACCAUAACUGACGCUGGAGGCGCGAAAGCUAGGGGAGCAAACAGG
rnacentral:rRNA from 1 species